ACCUGAGGGAUAGCUCAGUCGGUAGAGCAUGAGACUCUUGAUCUGAGAGUCAUGGGUUUUUGAGACCCACAUUGGGCA